GACUGUUCAAUUUAUUGUUCAGUUAGUGGCGAAAGGGUUAGUAACGGAUGGGUAACGUACCCUGUGCUUUGGGAUAGCGUCAGUUACUUCGGUAACUUUCCGAAAGGGGCGGUAAUACCAAAUAAUAUCAUUUGUCGAUAGGCAGAUGAUCAAAGAUUUAUCGGCGCAGGAGCGGCCUGUCUCCUAUCAGCUUGUUGGUGAGGUAAUGGCUCACCAAGGCAACGACGGGUAGCGGGACUGAGAGGUUGACCCGCAACAUCGGGACUGAGACACUGCCCGGACCUCCACGGAGGGCUGCAGUAACGGAUAUUGUGCAAUGGGCGAAAGCCUGACACAGCGACGCCGCGUGUAGGAGGAAGUCUUUCGGGAUGUAAACUACUGUCAGGGGGAAGAAAGUGCGCUUCGGCGUAUUGAUCUAACCCAGAGGAAGUCACGGCUAACUUCGUGCCAGCAGCCGCGGUAAGACGAAGGUGGCAAGCGUUGUUCGGUAUUACUGGGCUUAAAGCGUGUGUAGGCGGAAAAGUAAGCGUCUUGUG
rnacentral:rRNA from 1 species